CUCGCCGCUGGGAACCUGCAGCUCACUCAGCAACCGCUGUCCCUGGGACUCUCUACAGUGGAGCGCCCAGGGACCCUUUCAAGGGCGCCCCUAACACUGAGCUGCAAGGCAGGGGGUUAAAGGGGAAGCAGAGGUGCAGCGUGCAGGGAAGAAGGAGUUAGGGCGGAACUCAGCUGUGAGAACACAGCAGGUGGAGGCCACGGGGCCAGCACACGAGAGGCGCUGCCCUUUCCCCAGGGAAGACAGGCGAGGGGACAAGACCAGCAAGGGUGAGUCCGCUCCCCACUGCAGGGUCCGUGGUGGACCCCAUUUCGUCUCAAGGCCUGCCUCUGGGAGCCAUUCCGGUCUCCAAGCCUCCGCUGGGAGCGAAUUCUAAGAAUUGGCCAAAGGAAAAGCCCUGCAAAGGCUCGUAGCGUCCCAAGUCCUCGAGAGGAAUGCCUCAUUUCAACAUCUCAGCAAGUCUGGGAGGCCAUCCUCACCAUUUCAUAGGUGGGGCCGGUAAGGCGCGGGAAGGUGAGGUCACUUGCUGAAGUCUCACAACGGCGCGGGAGAGCAGGGAGAGCAGGUUCCUUGAGCGAGGGAAUGUUCCAGGGGGGUGGGAGGGAAGGGACAGCUGCAAGGACUGCCCAGGUGGCCAGGGUACCCGCAGCGCGGAUAUGCCGAGAAGGCGCGCCCGCCAAGCCGCGGCGCAGCCCACGACGUCCAGCCUUACCACUCUGGAACCACCACCCCGGUCCCUCAGAGACAGAGGAAGGAUGCGAGGGGAAGUCUAGGCUCAUCUUGGCACUGCUUCCCCCAACUGCCAGGGAAGAGAGGCUUGAGCAGGCACCUGUCAUCUGUCUGCCAUAGCUCCAUCAAAGAGUAAUGUCUGGCCUGACCCCAAUGCCCAUCCAGGAUGACUGGAGGUGCUGCCCCAAGCACCAUCCUCUCCGAGUGCUCGGGGCUUCCCAAGAAUGUAACUAUGGUCGCAUAGCAAAAGUGAGCAAGGCUGCAGUGCAGCAGCCCAGAGAAAACACAACUGAACCUCAUCAAUCAAUUUCCAUCCCACCACCUUGACUUGACUGCAGGCUGCCUGGGAACCCCACACUUCUCCUCUCUUUCCAGAAGAAGCGGUCUCAGCGGAGUUGUUUCCUAACGUAGCACAUUUGUUGCAGACAGCUACAGAGAGCAAAAAUAUGCUAUGGGCCAUCCACUUAAAGGAAACAGGCACGGGUAUUGCUCAACCUGCCGAGUUCAGCCCUGGCUCAUGAACUCAGUUCCAUGCACUGCGUCUGCACUGGGGAUCCAUGUGCAGAGGGGCCAGAUCAAAACCCCGGACUCUGAAUACAUGGUCAGUGCACGAGAAAUGACUUCUCCCUACCAAUCGCCCUUCCUUACUCUUUCCUAUUCCCUGCUCCCCAAAUGCCUUCUAGUCUUGGCCGCAUUAAAUCUGUGAUUCUAGGCUGGGCGUGGUGGCUCACGCCUGCAAUCCCAGCACUUUGGGAGGCCGAGAUGGGCAGACCAGCUGAGGUCAGGAGUUUGAGACCAACCUGGCCAACAUGGUGAAACUCCGUCUCUACUAAAAAUACAAAAAUUAGCCAGGCAUGGUGGCAGGCAUCCAUAAUCCCAGCUUCUUGGGAGGCUGAGGCAGGAGAAUUGCUUGAACCUGGAAGACGGAGGUUGCAGUGAGCGAAGAUCGCACCACUGUACUCCAGCCUGGGCGACAAAGCGAGACUCUGUCUCAAAAAAUAAAAAUAAAUAAAUCUGCAAUUCUAACAUCCCCCACUCACUUCAUCCCACCCCAGCCCUCAUCCUCAGGGAAUCUUCUCUGUUCCUCUGAGAGAGUAAAAAUACUAAGGGUGGAGAGGAUUGGCCAGAGCCUCGGGGAAGGCCAGACCCCGUACUGACCCCCUCCUCAGGUGCUCCCUCAGCAACCUCUAACGUCAACAUCUCCUCUUCAUGGAACAGAUGAGACAACUGAGGCUCCGAGAGGUGAAGUCCUGUGUCUGGACUGGGCUGUGUGUUGGCGUGUGCCUUCCCACAAAUCCUGUGACCCACCUCACCACUCCAUGCUGCCCCAGAAACAUGGGGCAAUGAUUUGUACAGGAAUCCCAGCAAGCAGAGCUUCUUCUAGAACUAACCAGGAGCUCGGUGUCUUCCUCAGACACUCAUAGUCCUCUCGAGCAAUUCCCCAGGCUGGACUCUGACUCAAGCUUCAGACAUUAAGCACCUUUGAAAGGCUGGAAAGUCACAGUCUACUCAUAUGUCACCAGAAGGCCUGGGCAAAAAAAGGAGGAAAAAUUAAAGAAUUAAGCGAGGGCCUGGAAAACAAGGCUAGCAGGAAGUCGGAGGAACUGACAAACAACUGGGAAGAUGAAGCUACCGAGGAUGGGCUGCAGGAGCCAAGAAGUUAGAAUCUGCAAGCCUGCGCCGAGUGCUCCAGUCAGCCAGCACUAGAUGAUUUACUGCUGAAUCCAGCCCCUCUAUGGACCAGCCUCCAAGUCACAUGGACCGUAAGGAAUGGUUUGAGACCAUCCCAAGAAAUAUUUGGGCAGCUCAAGAGAUGCAGAAACUGUUGCCCAUCCCCAUGUUUCAAGAACAAACAAGUAAAAGCUAAACCAGGGCCAAGCGCUCUGAGACUCGCUCCCCGCCACCCAGCCCUAGCCCAGUGUCCCCUGGACAGGGCUCAUGCCCUGCUGAGCCCCUGAUGCUGAAGUCAGGGGAGAAGGAGCCCGCCUCAUUGGCAGGGGUCAUUCCUCACUGUUCAGGCAGUAAACUAAGCCUUCUUGUCAUUUAUGGCUAUUUUGUCACCUUUACCAUUGUCAUCAGUGGCUGGCAAGAAUAUCCACGUGAGUUGAAGUUUACUGUCUGUCCUUUUAUUCUUCUGUCCUCUUUCUCUAUCUCAUAAUUAAAAAUUCCAUUUAACUGUUUUGUGUAUUUUGGCAGACACUGUUGGCUUCCUAUCCUAAAUUCUUCCCUACCUUCUUCCUGGAAAGCCUGGCUUUCCCUCUGGCUUUCUGGUUCAGGUGACUAUUCUUCCUCCACACAACUUGAGGAAGGGUAACCCUUUUCUCUCCCCAAAGGAAACCCUGAUGGACUAGGUCACCCUGUAAUCCCAUUCCCCUUGCCAGUGACUGGGCUGGGAAUGGGCAUUUGAUGCAAUUUUGGCCAACGGGCCAUGAAAGAGUGUGUACUCAUGUGUCUUCAAGAGACACAAAAGAACCAGGUCAGAGGACUUCUACUGCCUGCAAGUCUUGAAGUCUUAUUCCAAAGCAACAGUAAUUAAGACAGCAUGGGAAAGGCAAGAGGAAAGACAAAUAAGUCAAUAGAACAGGACAGAGUCCAGAAAUAGAUCUAUACAUAGAUAACCAAUUGACUUUUUUUUUAAAUUUUUGUGGGUACAUAGUAGGUGUAUAUAUUUAUGGGGUACAUGAGAUGUUUUGAUACAAGCAUGCAAUACGUAAUAAUCACAUCAUGGAAAAUGGAGUAUCCAUCCCCUCAAGCUUCAAGCAUUUAUCUUUUGUGUUACAAACAAUCCAAUUAUACUUUUAGUUAUUUUUGAAUAUACAGCUAUUAUUGACUACAGCCACCCUGUUGUGCUAUCAAAUACUACAGCCAAUUGAUUUUUUUUUUUUUUUUUUGAGAUGGAGUCUCACUCUGUUGCCCAGGCUGGAGUGCAGUGGCAUGAUCGCAGCUCAUUGCAACCUCUGCUUCCAGGGUUCAAGUGAUUCUCCUGCCUCAGCCUCCUGAGUAGCUGGGAUUACAGGUUCCUGCCACAUGCCCAGCUAAUUUUGUAUUUUUAGUGGAGACGGGGUUUCACCACGUUGGCCAGGCUGGUCUUGAACUCCUAACCUCAGGUGAUCCACCCACCUCAGCCUCCCAAAGUACUGCAAUUACAAGCGUGAGCCACCGUGCCUGGCCCAGCCAAUUGAUUUUUGAGGAAAGUGCCAAGGAGGAAAGGAAAGUCUUUUUCAACGAAUGGUGUUGAAUAUCUGUAUGGUAAAACAAUGAACCUGGGUCCCUGCCUCACACCAGACACAAAGACUAAUUGCAGAUGAUUUACAGGUCUCCAUGGAAAAGUGAAACUAGAAGGCAUCUAGGAAAAAAAAAAAAAAGACACAAGGAAGAAAGAAGUGGAGCCCCUCUUCUUCCACUUAGUGAUGUGAUGUCUGCAUAGGAGGGGAGGAACUGUACAGCCAUCCUGGAACCAUGAGGACACAGCCCAUGGACAGCAUGGAAAGAGAAACGAGCUUCAGAGUUGCCCUCCGUGUGGCUUUCUUGCUAUGUGAAAUGAUGCAUUUUCCUUCAUUGUUAAGCUAACUGCAUUGCAUUCUCCAUUACUUGCAGCCAAAAGCAUUCCCACUGAGACAUGCCUGUCCUUUUGUUUUUCCCUCCUAUGGUGUAGGGUUUUGCAUAACUAUUUACGUUCAGGCAAUAAACACAAAACCAUGAACAUUGACCUUCAUGUGGAAUUUAAGGAUUGCUAAACUUUUUUCUGUACCUAGAUUUCUCCUGUGUUGAUUUUGGAAUCCAACUCCUGGGGCAGGCGCUGAGGCACCCUGAGGAAAGGGCUGUGAUUGUCCAGUGCCAAAAGUGACCCACAAAGCAAAGUGUCUCCAAAGGACAGAGACCACAAUUGACUCAUUCUCAUUCAUACCCUUGAACCCAAGUACAGCAUCUGGAACACAGCAGGAGCUCAAUAAAUAAGUGUUGUAUGAAUGGAUGGAUAGAACAAGAAAAGUCCAGGCCCUUUCAUUCAUUGUAUUAUAAGCUUGCAAGCUUAAUUAGUACAAUUAAAAUACAUAAGCAAUAUCUUAGUUUCUUUAAUAAUUCCCCUUAAUUUACACGCUCUCUUUAUUUGAGUAAGUUCCCCAGGUGUUUGAAGAAUGUUAUUAGAAUUGGACAGUCCCUGUGUUGGAGACAGGGCCAUUGAAGCUGGUAUUUCUUCUCCCUUCCCUUCCUUCCUCCCUUCCUUUCUUUUUUUUUUUCUCCAAGAUGGGGUCUUGUUCUGUCCCCAGGGUGGAGUGCUGUUGCAUGAUCAUGGCUCACUGCAGCCUCAACCUCCUAGGCUUAAGCGAUCCUCCUGCCUCAGCCUCCUAAGUAGCUGGGACACACCAC
rnacentral:lncRNA from 1 species